UCCGGUUUGUCACCGGCAGUCUCCUUAGAGUUCCCACCAUUACGUGCUGGCAAAUAAGGACAAGGGUUGCGCUCGUUACGGGACUUAACCCAACAUCUCACGACACGAGCUGACGACAGCCAUGCAGCACCUGUCACUCGGUUCCCGAAGGCACCCCUCCAUUUCUGGAGGGUUCCGAGGAUGUCAAGACCUGGUAAGGUUCUUCGCGUUGCGUCGAAUUAAACCACAUGCUCCACCGCUUGUGCGGGCCCCCGUCAAUUCAUUUGAGUUUUAAUCUUGCGACCGUACUCCCCAGGCGGUCAACUUAGCGCGUUAGCUACGCCACUAGAGGGACAAGCCCUCCAACGGCUAGUUGACAUCGUUUACGGCGUGGACUAC
rnacentral:misc_RNA from 1 species